AAAUUAAAACUUUCAACAACGGAUCUCUUGGCUCUGGCAUCGAUGAAGAACGCAGCGAAAUGCGAUAAGUAAUGUGAAUUGCAGAAUUCAGUGAAUCAUCGAAUCUUUGAACGCACAUUGCGCCCGCCAGUAUUCUGGCGGGCAUGCCUGUUCGAGCGUCAUUACAACCCUC
rnacentral:rRNA from 1 species